ACACAAUUUUUCAAAAAAUUCGUGGUUUUAAAAUAUGGACAGUCCGAAUCUACCAUUCGUUUCUCUUUAUAGUUUCCAAAUAAAUUUUAAUAU